GAUGAAGAACGCAGCGAAAUGCGAUAAGUAAUGUGAAUUGCAGAAUUCAGUGAAUCAUCGAAUCUUUGAACGCACAUUGCGCCCGCCAGUAUUCUGGCGGGCAUGCCUGUUCGAGCGUCAUUACAACCCUCAGGCCCCCGGGCCUGGCGUUGGGGAUCGGCGGAGCCCCCCGUGGGCACACGCCGUCCCACAAAUGCAGUGGCGGUCCCGCCGCAGCUUCCAUCGCGUAGUAGCUAACACCUCGCGACUGGAGAGCGGCGCGGCCACGCCGUAAAACACCCAACUCUUCUGAAGUUGACCUCGAAUCAGGUAGGAAUACCCGCUGAACUUAAGCAUAUCAAUAAGCGGAGGA
rnacentral:misc_RNA from 1 species